UACGUAGGGUGCGAGCGUUAAUCGGAAUUACUGGGCGUAAAGCGUGCGCAGGCGGUUGUGCAAGACAGAUGUGAAAUCCCCGGGCUUAACCUGGGAAUUGCAUUUGUGACUGCACGGCUAGAGUGUGUCAGAGGGGGGUAGAAUUCACGUGUGAGCAGUGAAAUGCGUAGAUAUGUGGAGAAUACCGAUGGCAAGGCGCCCC
rnacentral:rRNA from 1 species